rnacentral:tRNA from 1 species
GUAGUAGUGGUUCAGUGGUAGAAUUCUCGCCUCCUAUAUGGAAAACCCAGGUUUGAUUCCUGGCCAGUGCA